rnacentral:lncRNA from 1 species
UACUUCAUGAUGCACGCUUUGUGGGGAGGAUGCAUGGUAACACGGAAUAUGAGAAUCCUCUUGGGAACUUGCUGACUGAAGUUAAUGAUAUUGAAACUGGUGAAGGUCCCAGUAAUUUUGAUGUGCAGUCCAGUGGCUAAUAUGUCGAGCUUGCUGAUUGGAAAGACACUCAUUUCUCGGCUAGCCAAGAAGGAGUUUUGGUAGUUUAUUUUGUUGUCAUUUCUGUUGUUCGGGUUAUUCCAGGGUUGUAAUCCAGAUAUUAUCUUGUGUCUCAAACUCUUAUUCUUCUUUUGCCUAGUUUGUUUUAUUGUAGUAACUCGUCCAAUGUUAUCCAGGUUGUUCCAGGGUUUUAACCCGUG